rnacentral:rRNA from 1 species
UACGUAGGGGGCAAGCGUUGUCCGGAAUCAUUGGGCGUAAAGCGCGUGUAGGCGGCUCGAUAAGUCUGCUGUGAAAGUCCAGGGCUCAACCCUGGGAUGCCGGUGGAUACUGUCGAGCUCGAGUCCGGAAGAGGCGAGUGGAAUUCCUGGUGUAGCGGUGAAAUGCGCAGAUAUCAGGAGGAACACCGAUGGCGAAGGCAGCUCGCUGGGACGGUACUGACGCUGAGGCGCGAAAGCGUGGGGAGCAAACAGG